rnacentral:tRNA from 1 species
GGUGCUAUAGUGUAGUGGUUAUCACUCGGGAUUUUGAUUACUCACUUUCCCGAAACCCAGGUUCGAACCCUGGUAGCACCU